UUUCCCUCUACUACAUAUUGAACAUCAGUUACCCUGUAGAACUGGGGGCCACACUAGAAUUCUUGCAAAGGUGCAUCUUCGGGAUAAAUCCACAUAAAGGUACCAAGGUGCAAAAGAGAGAGAAAAAGCGAGUGUACUCUGUCAACCCCAAAGUAUUGAGUCUCGCAUCAAAAAUUGCUGCAUUUGCCUGGGGAGACUAACAGAUGCAGCCAUUCAGAAAAGUGACAUUUGUCUCCGCAGUACAGGAUAAACUUUUUGUACUGUAACGCAUGCCUUUGUUCCUUUAAAAAUCUGUCUUAUUCCCCCAGGACAUGUUCUGUAUUAUUAGUAUCCAGCCCCGACAGGGUAAUAUUUUAUUAUCAUUAUUAUUAUUUAUUUUUUUAAUUAAUUUAAUUAAUUAUUUUUAAUGUACACCUUUGUGUCCUGAAGCAUGCCUUUUGCUGGAAAUGUUAUUUAUUUCCAUCGUUUUAUUUUAAAAGCUUGCUAUAUAGUUAUAAAUAGCUUGGUUGACUUGUUUACAGCAACACCCUGGCUAUCAUAAUUUAAUGAGUUUAGUCUUCGUAAUUGUGUAUUUUAUUAUUUUGUAUAAUUUCAUAUUUUAUAACAUUGUUCACUGCACAAUGGUGGACCGGAAUAUGUAGCAGUAAAUGGACAAAAAUGAAUAAGAGUAGUUAUGCCUCCUAGAUUGUAAAUGCAAUGGAAUGUACAUUUGUUUUGAUGUUAAGAUAAAUACUUGACCUGAUGUCAAGUGCCCUUGACAAUGAAAUGUGAUUAAGAAUACAAAAGUGAUUUUCUGUUUUGUUGUAUUUGGUCAAGGUGCAA